UACGGAGGGGGCUAGCGUUGUUCGGAAUUACUGGGCGUAAAGCGCGCGUAGGCGGACCUGCAAGUCGGGGGUGAAAGCCCGGGGCUCAACCUCGGAACUGCCUUCGAUACUGCGGGUCUCGAGUCCGGGAGAGGUGAGUGGAAUUCCUAGUGUAGAGGUGAAAUUCGUAGAUAUUAGGAAGAACACCAGUGGCGAAGGCGGCUCACUGGCCCGGUACUGACGCUGAGGUGCGAAAGCGUGGGGAGCAAACAGG
rnacentral:rRNA from 1 species